rnacentral:ribozyme from 1 species
CAAAGAAACGCUACGUAACGGCAUGAAAGUUUUUUUUUUUUUUUUUUUUUUUUU